rnacentral:lncRNA from 1 species
GAUGCAGCUCGGAUCCGGCGACCCCUAGCCUGAGAACCUCCAUAUGCCGCACCUCCUAAAAGGACAAAAGACAAAAAAUAAAAAUAAAAGUGGGAACACGGGAAGCCCAGCAUGCUGGUAGCACGUGCUCAUGGCCGGGCACACACCUGCCCCAGCCCCUGGCAGGGCCGCUCCCGGCUUCCAUAACUUAGGAACAAGCCACACCCCUGCCACGUGGAACAAGAGCAAUUCAGAGCGACCAGGUGGCAGGACUUAGAGCCUAAACCCACGUGAAGCACCUGCUCGCCACGCCCACGAACGGACCUGCACACACUUCCUUCCAACCCUCCGGGGCAAAGAGGACAUCAAACGCUUACGCAGAGGACUUAGUGCACAGUCUUGCAAAUAUAUUUUUUUUUAAAUGUGGUUCUAGAAAGAUUUGAAAAAAACAGUAUGAUCCAGAGAACAUCCGGAUUCUCCCAUUUCCCCCGUGAGACGGAGCUCCCUCUAGCGGGAGGAAGAGGAAACGUCCAGGGAGAGCAAGCGGGUUGGAUGCACCCCGGCCCAGGGGCUCUGAGAAGGGGUCCUGCAGCCUGACCCUCUCAGGCGGUCAUGGGGCAUAAGAAGCCCCCAGAGACUGGACACCUGGGGACAGACGGAGCCCAGGGAAAUGCUAACCUCAAGGGCCACCUCUUCCAUGAAGCCUACCCUGAUGCUCCAUGGGGAGAAUCAGCCCUCUUGCCUCCUAGCCUAUUCGUCAUUCACCUUGUAUGGAAUCUUCUAGAAGGAGGAUGGGUCUGCGUACUUUGGGGCUGCCACGUGACGCGGCUGGGAGAGGACGUCCUCCGUUCUGUCCCUCCUCCGUCGCCCCCCCGCCGGGUGGACCUCAGCCGUCGCGUGUAACUCUUCCGUGCGUCCUCUCAAGACUCCCAUCUCUUUAUGCUUUUCCUCUGGGUGUUGAGAUAUUUCUCUUUUUUUAUUUUAUUUUAUUUUAUUUUGCUUUUUUAGGGUCGAAUCUGAGGCAUACGGAGGUUCCCAGGCUAGGGGUCCAGUCAGAGCCACAGCCACAGCCACAGAGGAUCCAAGCCACAUCUGCGACCUACACCACAGCUCGCGGCAACACCAGAUCCUUAACCCACAGAGCGAGGCCAGGAAUCAAACCCACAACCUCAUGGUUCCUAGUCGGAUUUGUUUCCACUGUGCCACGAUGGGGACUCCAGUUUUUUUUUUUAAUUUUUAUUUAUUUAUUUGUUUCUUUGAGAUAUUUCUCUCACUUUAUCUUCCCGUUCUCUCAUUUCAUUUUCCACCCUUCUAUUUUCUAUGAAAAAAAAAAUCACCAUUUGUGGUUGUUUGUUGUUGUACAAUGUCUUUUUCUUUCUUUUCUUUUUUUUUUUUCUGUCUUUUUGCCUUUUCUAGGGCCACCCCAGCGGCACAUGGAGGUUCCCAGGCUAGGGGUCUAAUCAGAGCUAUAGCCAACCGGCCUAUGCCACAGCCACAGCCACACCAGAUCUGAGCUGCGUCUGCAAUCUACACCCCAGCUCAUGGCAACACCAGAUCCUUAACCCACUGAGCGAGGGCAGGGAUCAAACCUGCAACCUCAUGGUUCCUAGUCGGAUUUGUUAACCACUGUGCCACAACAGGAACUCCGUACAAUAUCUUUUUAUACCAGGGACACUUCUCCCAAGGUGUCGAUGGCAGUGAUGUGAUGAGGGGGUAAACUGUCACCUGCUCACCACCAGCUGAGGUGUUCUGUUGUCUUCUCUCUGGCACCUGGGUCCCCUUCGGCCUGUUUCAAUUUUCUUUUUCUUGCUCGGAUCUCUUGGGCCUUCGGGGAAAGCUUUUAGGGUCUCUUUUGGGAUGAGAAUAGAGGCGGUGACAGGCCAGCUGUUGCUCCUCUGCUGAGCACAGGAGGAAGCUCCCAGCUGCAGUCCUUGCAGCGUGUUGACAAGCUCCCAUUCUCAGGGAUGGGGGCACCCCCAGCACCCCCUUUUCCCACCCACGCAGCCCUCCUCCCUUGUCCCAGGCCAGAGACGCCCUUCAAGGUUCUCGCAGGUGACUGCAUCCCUCGGACACCGAAGGGUGUCCUUUGAGGAACCCCAGAGUUCUAGGCCUUAUCCUAGAUCUGAAUUCUGAUCCCCUCACUCCCACCCAGCUGGAGGGUGAAAGAGUCAGCAGCUGUAUCCUUUUCUAGAGAUUCUGGAAGAGCUCUCUGUCCCAUUUCAAUGUCCCAGGCCCUGCCUUCGGACCCUCCCUCUGGCUGCCCCCAGGAGGUGGAGUUCAACACUAGUUGGGAGGAAUAUUCAGGCCCCACCCCACCCCACCCCCUCGGCCGGUUUUGUUUUGCUUUGUUUUGUUUUUGUCUUUUUUGUCUUUUUAGGGCCGCACCUGCGGCUUAUAGAGGUUCCCAGGUUAGGGGUCUAAUUGGAGCUAUAGCCGCGAGCCUACACCACAGCCACAGCA